rnacentral:sRNA from 2 species
GACCUUGGCGCUGCAGAGCGGAGGGGUUUCUGGCGGUCGCUUGCACUAUUGCUUUGGAUAGAACCAAUCUCUCCUCCGUAGCAGCCCGUAGUGACUUCGAAGUCCUACGUUACCCAAUGAUAUAGCUUGUAAGGGGUGAUUGGUUCAUUAUAUCCCUUCGGAUUUGUUUCUGAUUUGAUUGCCCGAACCUGCGCUUGCAUUCGUUGCAAUAGUUAUGCUUUAUUGAUUGGCCACUCAUUCGGCUGGACUGUUUUCCCCCUCGACAACUCGACUCUGUUGCAUAAGCGCAGGUGUGCAAGAAUGCGGGGCAUCAUGAGGUGGUAACAAAUUAAAGACGCGAUGGAAUCUGUAAAUUUUGAAGAUCAAGAACAUCAACACUUGGAAAGCAGAAAGAAGAAAGAAUAAGGAAAAAGAAAAAGGAUCAACGAAGACUCGCUGGUUUCAAUGAUUUUCUUGAACUAGUAAUUAGCGUUAUCGAAUACUCAAUUCAAUAACGUCCUCCCCUCUUCAGCAAUCACAAGUCCCUCUCUCCUCGCCGCCGCUACCAAAGUUUCUGAGCCAAAGUUUCACAACCAUGACUGGCUAUAGAUUGGGUGUUGACGUCGGCGGCACUUUCACCGACGUUUGUGUCUUCACUCCCAACGGGGAGACCGUCCGAGCAAAAGUUCCGUCCACGGUUCAUGACCAAAGCAUUGGAGUCAAAGAUGGUAUCGCCAAGGUUCGGGAGAUACUGCAAAGUAGAUCUGGCUGGGACGGGAAAUUUGACUUUAUCCAUCACGGAACCACAACUGCGACAAAUGCGGUUCUCGAGGGGAAAGGCGCCAAACACUCGGCUCUGAUUGUCACUGCAGGCCAUAAGGAUAUUCUUGCCCUCAGACGAUCUCAUAUUCCCGGUGCCUUGGGUGCUUGGAUCAAUUUCGUGCCCCCUGAACCAGUGGUGCCGCUGGAAAGAACUGUGCAAUGUUCCGAACGUGUGUCUGCAACGGGCGAAUUAAUCCAGGAAGUCGACGCACGCAAGUUGCGACUAGAUUUGGCAGAGCUGAAGCACCAGGUCCCGGAAUCAGUUACCAUCAGCUUGAUAAAUUCUUAUGCGAACAGGAUUAAUGAAGACGCUGUACGUGGCAUCGUCAGGGAGGAGCUCGGCCCUGAAGUCGAAAUCGUUUGCUCUACUGAUGUCCUUCCAGAGACCGGAGAGUACGAAAGGACGGUCACAGCAGCCGCAAAUGCGAUGGUGAAACCCAUCGUCAAGAGAUACCUUUCGGGCCUCCAAAACCUUUUGAAGGACGACAGCUCCAUAAUCCGUGUGUUGAAGAGCGAUGGUGCGAUGACGUCACUGGAAUUAGCAGGGGACGUUCCAGUUAACUGCCUUAUGUCUGGACCGGCUGGUGGCGUUCGUGGAAUCGCCGACGUUGUAGCCAAAAACACACCUUACAAAAACUUAAUCACUCUCGAUAUUGGCGGCACCUCCACGGAUGUUGCCAUUAUCGUAGAUGGAUCCCCC